UUAUACUAAAAACUAUUCAAUUGAAAAAAGCAUAGCAUGAGGUUUUUUACAAUAUAAAGUGAUCAAACAAUUUUGUAUAUGUUUCAUGCAAAGAUAGAAGAAAAAAUGGCUAAAACUCUGAAGGUCUUUUAUACUUUGAUCCUUUUUGUGUUCCUAUUUCUUGCUGUAGUCGAUGUUGGUGCUCGUUCAUGUCGGUCAUACAUCGAUUGUCUAAAGUACAUAUGUCCCUAUAGUGGUUAUGGAUAUUGCUUAAUGGGUAUUUGUAGAUGCUCAACAGAUUACCAAUUAUAGCCAACACAAUCAUGACAAGUAAUCAAUGGAGCUUUUCUUGUGAAAGUGGAGUAUUAGAGGUUUGUGCCUCACUUUAUUUUAUUUUAUGAGUUUUUUAUUACUAUAAUUGAUUUUGUUGUAUAGGGUGGAGUAACUCUUGAUUGAGUUAUUCCUUUUAAUAAUUGUUUGUAUUUCUUGAGAUUUAAUAUUUUCACUUAUUUUAUUUUUUAGUUUUCAAAGUUAUGAGUUAUAAAAUUAUUGUUAUUAUUUGUUAUAUAAUUAUUGUUAUUAUUCGUUUGUUCCUAAGAAAUAUAAGACUUCAUUGUCUUUUUUACAAAUAUUAAAAAAA